ensembl:lncRNA SNHG17 small nucleolar RNA host gene 17
AGAUCAUGCCCCUGCACUCCAGCCUAGGCGACAGAGUGAGACUAUGUCCCUAACAAAAAACAAAAAACAGGAGCUGGAAAAAGACAACUGUGGCUGGUCGUGGUGGCUCACACCUGUAAUCCUAGCACUUUGGGAGACUGAGGUGGGUGGAUCGCUUGAGCCCAGGAGUUUAAGACCAACCUGGGCAAUAUGGCAAAAACCUGUCUACAACACACACACACUAGCCAGGUGUGGUGGCAUGCGCCAGGAGGUGGAGGUUGCAGUGAGCCGAGAUUGUGCUACUGCAUUCCAGCCUGGGCUGCAGAGCCAGACCUUGUCUUUAAACAACAACAACAAAAAAGACUUCAGUUGUAAGGUGACAGGGCUUAGCACAUUGAUGCAUGUCAGGGAAGUAGUUUUGAGCAAGGCAGCCUGUGUGGGGGUGGUCAGAGCUAUUUCCCACUGGCCCAGUGGUCAUCCCAUGGUGUUCUCUUUGACGGUCUUGUCCGUGGGCCACCAGGAUUAAUUUCCCCACAGGAUUGUCAUUGUGAUGUCAGCGACCAAAGCCAGAGGUAUAGCUAGGCAUGGCUGAUAGAAGAGUGAGAUGUGUAAUCAGCCCUGACCCGCAGAUGACAGAUGGGCCAUCCUGCCCAUCAUAGCCCUUACUGUGUAUGCUAGACUGCGCCACGCUGGUGUGCCACACCAGAACCUGUCCUAGGUUCAGAGUCCCCUUCAGUGUACUGCUUCAGGAUCACAAAUUCAACAAUAUGUGCAUAAGAUGAGACUUAAGCUGUCCCUGAUGACUGGUUCUUCUCUAGAUGAACUCUUCGUGUUGCUGAGACCGUAGACCACUGUUAACACUAGCCAACUUUUAGGAAAUGUUUACCACCUGGUGGCUUCUGUGCCAGUACUCUCCUUGUCCUUUCCAGAACGGGUUUGACCAGGUGAUGUCUAGAUAGCUCAUCCAGGGCUUCUUGAUUCUGGCAGAGGAGGCUGAUUGGUGCAGAGAGGCCCAUGAGAGGUAUCUCCACCCUGCCAGGAAGCAGGUGGACCAUGGUGUUCUAUGAGGUCUGUCCUCUGGAGAUCUGGGGCUUUGUGUCCCACAAGGGUGGGUGCAUGCAGGUUCCCUGGGCGUGAUGUCUGGGAAGUAGAGAGAGGUGAGGUAAGAGUGUCUUUGUGCUGGCCCCAGUUUUACCCUCUUUGGGGCCAUCAUGAAUACAUUGGGUUCCUCUUGUGCCUGCUUGGGUUUAGCAUCUUUAGGGAUCCCUUAUCAUUGUUGUGUCUUGGAAUAUCUGACUCAAAAGCUGGAGGGCUUUGGCAUCAAACCUACCUGUACCUUGGUCCCAAACGCUUUACCACUACUCCCUAGCUUUGGUUCUUUUUGUGAUCUUCAGUUUUCUCGUCUGGAAAACAGGAGUACGCUGAGGUGAUUUUUCUUAGGAUCACACCGUCCCUAUCUUCCACGUCCGAAGAAGUCUGCCAGCUUUCUCAUCUGGAGGGUCUUUCCUUUACUUCUCCUGGUUGGGGCAGGUUCCGUUUAUGUGGGACAAGAUGGAAGCUGCUUCAUCCUGUGCUCUGCUGUGCCACUGUCCUGGCUCAGGCCAUUUUUCAGGCUUCUGACGUUGGUCUCCAAUUUCAACAAGCCCUGGAUCUCUUUCUGCCCCUGUGUGCAAAGUGAUUACAGGCUGCUUGUGUCUUGGUUAUUGGUAAUAAAGGAAAAGUUACAAGGUUUUCCUCUUGUGUAGAGGCACCAUUGUCCAUUUCAGACGGGAUGACCUCAGGGGACUGUGUCAGUGACCAGGAUGGGCUAGACAAGCUGUCAGUACAUUCACCUCCUGAGACACUGAUUCCCCUGGUGUGUUUUCUGUGGGUGAAUAUCGUGGUUUCCUGGACUUGCCAUAAGCAGUGCCAAGUGCAUCAGUCACAUCUUGGCUUCUUGUGCCCUGCAGGAGUGUCACAUGACUGCCGCCCCAUGUGUGUGAGAGGCGUCCUCUGGGAGAGCAUGGAUCCUGAGGUCCCAGGAUUGUCAGCUGACCUCUGUCCUGUGUGCCCAGUGGCCCCAGGUGACGUGUCUUCAAGAAGAGGCUGAGCUGCGGUGCUUGUAAGAGUCAUGUGCUGUUCCUGGGGCUUGGAUGAUGUAGGGGAAGCAAGGUGAAAGUGGUAUCCCGUGGUUCCACGUUCUGUCCUGCUGUGGGGCUGUCCCUCACAUGCUUUCAGUGGCUGUUGCAGAGGAAGAGCCUCCGGAAAUCUGCGUGGGUAAAGUCUCAGCCUUAGAUCCAAGGACAGUCCAAGGAAGUCCUAAGACCAUGGAGUUGGUGAUCUGGGAUCUGGGUUUGCUGAUAUUUCUCACCGUGAAUCUCUUGGUGGUGUUUGUGGGCACGAGAGGGGCAGAGAAUGGAGAGUGAGGCUACCACAUGAAGCGUCACCAGAGCUGCUCCCUGCUGCCUGCUCAGAGCACCCCGGAUCCACUGUUCAAUCUGCACAAGAUUCGGGGUCCAGACAUGGGAGACUUCAGCUGCCUCAGAGGACCGUGGACAGGGAAGGCCAGCCUCGCAUCCCUCUGUCCAUGCCUGGAAUGACUUUAAUAACCAAGAGUUUUAUUUUUGAAUUUGUAGCUGUCGUUCACUUUUUACCCACCCAUUCAAUAAACCUUACAGAAUUGCU